AGAGUUUGAUCAUGGCUCAGGAUAAACGCUGGCGGCGUGCCUAACACAUGCAAGUCGAACGCCCUUGAGCAAUCGAGGGAGUGGCGGACGGGUGAGUAACGCGUGGAUCAUCUAUCCUCGGGUGAGGAAUACUGGCGAGAAAUCGCCAACAAUACCGCAUAGGCUUGUGCAAACAAGCAAAGCAUCGCAAGAUGCGCCAG
rnacentral:rRNA from 1 species